AACUAUGGUUCUUAAACUUGGUGCCUGUCUGCCAUACUGUGAUGUUUUACAUUGAUCACUCUGAGGUUGGUACCCCCUUAUUCUGUCUUCAUUUUGGCUCCUAAACCCCUCACAUAUUUGUUCAGCCCUUGGUUAUACCCUAUAGGAGUAAUCAAUUUAAACACUUUUCUGUACAAAAACAUGUUGCUAGUAUAUGGAAUAAUUUGUAUAAAAUGUGUUAUAUAACAAGUUCUUUACAAAGGAGACUAUACUCAAGAUAUAUAAUAAACGUGACCUAAUUUCACAUACUUUAUGAAAUCCAUGAAAGGAAUAUACUAAAAGGACAUGGGUUGUAAUUUACAGGGAAUACAGCAUUAUUUGGUUUACAUUACCCUCCUGCCAUUGAUGAUUUACUAAUAUCUCAGGUACAGGAAAUUUCUGCCAUCCACGCUGUGGUUUCUGAUUGAUCAGUGACCUUUGGGGUAUCAAGCAUUACCUUUCUUUACAAAAUAAAGCACUGAUCCCAAUAAAACGUAUUCCCUUACUAUUCUGUAAAAUGAAAGAUCACUAUAGCUGCCCGGUCAGUAGGCAGUGUCCACUCCUGUCCUCUUAUUAUAUACACAAAAGCACUUACUUAGGUACUAAGCACAGAAAUGACACCUCUUCCCCCAGCAAUGGAAGUGGUUUGGCUAAUUAAGGUGAGAAGUAAAUUGUGAACUCUUAAACUUAUCUGCCAAAAACAAAUUACUUAAUGAAGGUUAACUUCUUACUGUUUUAACAGUUUUAUAUGUGUUUGGGUUUAUUCACUAAAAAGGGAGUUGGAGAGUUUUAGUUUCAUCUCCCUGACCAUACUAUGAAGAGCCAACCCCAGUGAGCUUCUGCUUCAAUAUGCUGCAUGGCACUGUACAAGGCAUAUUGAAAUCUGUUAGAUUUCAUUAAUAAUUCACCUAAUUGAACUCUGCAUCUUCUUGCCCAAAAGGCCAGUUGAUGACCCUUUAAAAUAAACAAUUAAUGUAGUGGAAACUACAGUUUCCCAGCCAAUUUUCCUGCCCACUCAAGCUUGUGUACCCCAUUAAGUACCGUUAAAUUAACCCCAUUGCACAGAAAGCAUAGAUCUGUGAAUUUCUGAAAGUCGUUGCCCCUCCCAACUAAAUAUGUUACCCAGCAUGAUGCAUAUGUGUGGUUGGCUAUUUAUGUGGUAUUUGAAGUCAUUUUAAUUGUUGUUACUGUACUUUUUUAAAAUGAACGCUCGAUAUGAAGACCAAGUUUGUAAUAUAAGAAAUUUGCAGAAAGCAUUUAUAUUUUUGUUUUGCUAUUUCUUGUACUGUUACUGUCUGUUGCACCAAUCUGCAUUGACAUAUAUUGAAUGACCUAUAGGAAGAUUUUAUAUUUUAUUAUUUUUUUAUGUUGUAUAUUUAUUGUAGCUAUUCUUGGUAAGCAACACAUAAGGGAAUGCAUAUGGCAUCAUUUUACUAUUGUAAAGUUUAGAAGUAACAGGGUUAUAGAUAAUGCAUCUCCGACCCCAUGUAUGAAUUGCAUAUGAACACUGGGAAUCCUACUUUACAAAUGCACAAUUUGUCCUUUCUGAAUGAGGUUUAAAAAAAAAAAAAAAAAAUUAUACUGAACCUACUGAAGACUGAACCACUGAAAAUAUAUUGUGUAUAGUCUCAUAAAUAACCUAUCUACUAAUAUUAAUUUUACUGGAUACUAUUCGGUAGCAGAACUCUUUAGUUUUUGGGGUGAGAAAAUGAGCAUCUGUAUCUGUUAACUCCUCCCCCAGCUGCCUCUACUGAAAGCAGAGAGCAUGUAUUAGUACACUUCUUGAACAUUGUUGGUAGCAGUGAAAGCAAAUGGAGUAGCAGCAGCUUAUCAUAAAUAUGCGUUCUAAACACUGAUGCUUUGCUAGCGUACAUAUGAUUGGCUGCUGUAACUCUUACUGACUUCAAUGGGAGCUCGGCCCCUUUUAUGUGAGUGUGCAAUACACACACUAUGCAGUACGUAUACUUCCUUAUUGUACUUCCUGAUUUCCUAGUAGACGCAGCCAGGGGAGGAGUUAAAUGAGACAAAAGUCCUAUUUUCAAAA